UUUUCGAAAGGUAUACUUAAAGAGGGGCUUGCGGCACAUUAGUUAGUUGGUAGGGUAAAAGCCUACCAAGACCAUGAUGUGUAGCUGGACUGAGAGGUUGAACAGCCACAUUGGGACUGAGACACGGCCCAAACUCCUACGGGAGGCAGCAGUAGGGAAUUUUCGGCAAUGGAGGAAACUCUGACCGAGCAACGCCGCGUGAACGAUGAAGUAUUUCGGUAUGUAAAGUUCUUUUAUUGAAGAAGAAAAAAUAGUGGAAAAACUAUCUUGACGAUAUUCAAUGAAUAAGCCCCGGCAAACUAUGUGCCAGCAGCCGCGGUAAUACAUAGGGGGCGAGCGUUAUCCGGAAUUAUUGGGCGUAAAGGGUGCGUAGGCGGUUUGGUAAGUCUAUAGUUUAAUUUCAGUGCUUAACACUGUUCUGCUAUAGAAACUAUCAGACUAGAGUGAGAUAGAGGCAAGUGGAAUUCCAUGUGUAGCGGUAAAAUGCGUAAAUAUAUGGAGGAACACCAGAGGCGUAGGCGGCUUGCUGGGUCUUUACUGACGCUGAGGCACGAAAGCGUGGGGAGCAAACAGGAUUAGAUACCCUGGUAGUCCACGCCGUAAACGAUGAGUACUAAGUGUCGGGGAAACUCGGUACUGAAGUUAACACAUUAAGUACUCCGCCUGAGUAGUACGUACGCAAGUAUGAAACUUAAAGGAAUUGACGGGACUCCGCACAAGCGGUGGAUCAUGUUGUUUAAUUCGAAGAUACACGAAAAACCUUACCAGGUCUUGACAUACUCUGCAAAGCUAUAGCAAUAUAGUGGAGGUUAUCAGGGAUACAGGUGGUGCAUGGUUGUCGUCAGCUCGUGUCGUGAGAUGUUAGGUUAAGUCCUAAAACGAGCGCAACCCUUGUCACUAGUUGCCAGCAUGUUAUGAUGGGCACUUUAGUGAGACUGCCAAUGAAAAAUUGGAGGAAGGUGAGGAUCACGUCAAAUCAUCAUGCCCCUUAUGAUCUGGGCUACAAACGUGAUACAAUGGCUGUUACAAAGAGUAGCUAAAACGCGAGUUUAUAGCCAAUCUCAUAAAAGCAGUCUCAGUUCGGAUUGAAGUCUGCAACUCGACUUCAUGAAGUUGGAAUCGCUAGUAAUCGCGAAUCAGCAUGUCGCGGUGAAUACGUUCUCGGGGUUUGUACACACCGCCCGUCAAACCACGAAAGUUGGUAAUACUCAAAAACGGUAGCCUAACUUCUU
rnacentral:rRNA from 1 species